CGUCUGCUCUUCCGAGCACUAAUACUCACUAAAUCUUCGCAAUUACAGAUUGAUUCGAACAUCGUCACUCUUACAAUAAAAUAUAUGCUGAGAAUGUAUCUGAAACAAGUGUAUUUUAAAUGGUGAUAUCCAUCCAUUUACAGGCACGGCUUAGAAUUGAUAUAAAAAUCUGAAA